rnacentral:rRNA from 1 species
UACAGAGGGGGCGAGCGUUGUUCGGAAUUACCGGGCGUAAAGGGCGCGUAGGCGGCCUGCUAAGUCGAACGUGAAAUCCCCGGGCUCAACCCGGGAACUGCGUCCGAUACUGGUGGGCUUGAAUCCGGGAGAGGGAUGUGGAAUUCCAGGUGUAGCGGUGAAAUGCGCAGAUAUCAGGAGGAACACCGGUGGCGAAGGCGGGUCUCUGGGCCGAUACUGACGCUGAGGAGCGAAAGCGUGGGGAGCAAACAGG